rnacentral:rRNA from 1 species
UACGGAAGGCAGCAGUGGGGAAUAUUGCACAAUGGGCGAAAGCCUGAUGCAGCUAUGCCGCGUGUAUGAAGAAGGCCUUAGGGUUGUAAAGUACUUUCAUCGGGGAGGAAAAAACAAAACUAAUAAUUUUAUUUCUUGACGUUACCCGAAAAAGAAGCACCGGCUAACUCCGUGCCAGCAGCCGCGGUAAUACGGAGGGUGCUAGCGUUAAUCAGAAUUACUGGGCGUAAAGAGCACGUAGGUGGUUUUUUUAAAGUCAGAUGUGAAAUCCCUGGGCUUAACCUGGAACUGCAUUUUGAAACUGAAAUACUAGAGUAUCGUAGAGGGAGGUAGAAUUCUAGGUGUAGCGGUGAAAUGCGUAGAUAUCUGGAGGAAUACCUGUGGCGAAAGCGGCCUCUAAACGAAUACUGACACUGAGUGCGAAAGCGUGGGGAGCAAACAGGGAUUAGAUACC